rnacentral:pre_miRNA from 1 species
CAAAUACUCCCUCCGUCCGAAAAUACUUGUCAUCAAAAUGGAUAAAAGGAAAUGUAUCUAGACGUAUUUUAGUUUUAGAUACAUCUAUUUUUAUCCAUUUUGAUGACAAGUAUUUUCGGACGGAGGGAGUAGAAA